CUAGGGGUCGCUUCCAUCUGGAAGAAUCUGGAGACAGGUGCUGCAUGGCUGUCGUCAGCUCGUGUCGUGAGAUGUUGGGUUAAGUCCCGCAACGAGCGCAACCCUUGCCUUUAGUUGCCAGGCAGUUCGGCUGGGCACUCUAAAGGGGACUGCCGGUGUUAAACCGGAGGAAGGUGGGGAUGAACGUCAAGUCCUCAUGGCCUUUAUGACCAGGGCUACACACGUACUACAAUGGCCGAUACAAAGGGCAGCGACACUGCGAGGUGAAGCCAAUCCCGUAAAAUCGGUCUCAGUCCGGAUUGGAGUCUGCAACUCGACUCCCAUGAAGUUGGAAUCGCUAGUAAUCGUGGAUCAGCAUGCCACGGUGAAUACGUUCCCGGGCCUU
rnacentral:rRNA from 1 species